rnacentral:lncRNA from 1 species
GCCGCAGCUCCAGGCUCCUUUCGUUCCCCACGCAUGAAACCCUAGCUGCUUUCGUUCCCCACGCACGCCGCCGACCCAGAGAGGCGACCUCACCCUUCCCUCCCAUGGCGCCACUGCCCCAACCCAUAGCCGACUCCCUCUCCCCUCCCUCCCUCUCCACUCCCUUUCAUGGUACCAGAUCUGAAGGGGACAUGGUCUCUUCGCUCCCGGUGGUCCAGGGCGAGUAGGCAGCCUCCGCUCCCUCCACUUCCGGCGACAGGUGCCUCCAUCUCUGCCAACCAACAUUCGGUGACCAGGAGGUAGCCAUCUAUGGCGGCAACAAAAUCGGUAAUGUUUCUUUCCCUCUCGUGUGGUCUCUCCCUCCACUCCCCCUCCAGGCUGCAGAUUUGAAACUGGAGCGUGCAGAUUUAUAGUUUUCUAAAAAGUAUUUUCAUGAAUUGGUUAUAUCCGUUCAGUUGUUCGUCCCACCCCUCUGCAUAUCCGACCCAUUCUUAUGUAGUUUAUUAUUAUAUGAGAGGAAGGGGUAAGGGACUGUUAGUCAAGAACAGUUGCAUCUCUGUGUUCUCAGCAAGAAAGAGAAUGACACAGUUAAACAUUCAGAUUUAAGCAAUAGAUGGAUGGAACUUUUGUUCUGCAGUCUAAUAACGAGAUACAAUAAAAGUUCUUUUAUUUUACUGAAAUUAACUUUUAAUUGAGUGAGGUGCUAAGGUCAACCUCUAUACAUGCACAUCCCUGAACUGAAAAUACACCCAGGCACCAAUUUUGGACAGUACAAAAUUGAUAUGAUGCUUACUUUGUGAGCGAGUCUCUUAUUGCACAAUAUCUUUGAAUAAAAGGCAUGGUUAGAAAUAAACUGAACCAAACUAUCGACAUCAGAGAGCAUACAAUUAUGAGUUUAAUUUCCCAGUUACAGCAAUAAUUGUACUGUAUUUGUAAUGAUACAUUCUUACCCCGCCAAUAAAUAUUUGGUUGAGAGCCCUUGAUCAUGACAGCUAGAAAUUAGCAAACGCAUUACAUAUGUUCAGUAAAGCCUUUCAAUAUUUUUCCCGUCGAUGUCACAAAAUAAACACCCCAAUUAGUAUGUUUGAGCUUGGUGGUACGUGCCCCCAUCUCUCCCCACUUCAGGAGAAUAGGAGCCAACCAUCCAUGGCAGAAACAACAUCGUAAGUUCUGUGUUUGUGUGUGCGCACGGCGCGCGCGUGUGUGCGUGUUCAGAUUCCAACUCCCACCGGUGGACCAGAAUUUUUUAUUUGGUUGUAAGUUUAACCUCUUUCAAAAAGAAAUCAUGCAGCUUCUAUUCAUGGAAGCAGAAGUCCUUGAAGUACUCCCUCCGUUCCCAAAUACUUGUCUUUCUAGGCAUUUCAAAUGGACUCAACAUACGAAUGUAUGUAGACAUAUUUUAAAGUGUAGAUUCACUCAUUUUGCGUCGUAUGUAGUCACUUGUUGAAAUCUCUAGAAAGACAAGUAUUUAGGAACGGAGGGAGUAGUAAAUUAUUUUUUUGCAGGGGAAAUGAAUGUUUAGUAAGUUUGGAAAAAAAGGCCACUGGAAGAUGUCCAUAGUCAUAUGCAUGCAUCCCAUCGACUUGAUGCUACUACAAUUUACUCUUUGAAGAACCUCCGUAAGUAUGUAUGUGAGAUAGCAAGCAAUGUUGGAUGCCCUCACUGUUUCCUUCUGAUUGGCAUAUAGGACUAUGUGCUUGUCCAGUAUACAUAUCUCCAGUUUUCUAUUAAUUCUUUGGUACAAACGGAAUACAUGUAGCACUUUGUAAAUGUUUCCAUGUGAAAAUAUCAUACUAUAACAUUAUGUUCUAUUUAAUUCCCAGAAGUAAUACUUGGUUUCAACUUUGAAAGACACAUGAAUUCUUCUAUGGGGCGUCCGAACAAAAGGAGCAUCCCGUCACUACGGUAAUUUUGGUCACUUACCUGAACAAAAAGGGCUAUGAUCUCUUAAUGAAAUUGGGGGUCCAUUGCGGAUCCUUUUAUUGGAAAAGAUAAUCUAUUCACAUGGGGGCUGGGUUCUCGUUGACGAACUGAAACAUGCCGCUCUUAAAUUAGCAAGCAGGAAACUACAGGCAUAGUUGACAUUGGACCUUUAUGUUGUAUUUUUUUCAUAUGGUGAAAAAGAGAGUUCAUAUUUUGCAUAUGGCCAUGUUCUCUUAUAGAAUAAAAAUAAGGAUAUGUUGACAUUCGACUUUUAUGUCGUCAUUCUUCCAUGAUGGUUAGCCUACUGUUAAUAUCCUGUUCUCCAACUAACACAUUCUUGCAAGAAAUCACAAUUGAUGAAAUAAUUUUGAGCACUUACUUUUUCGAAUUUUAUGUUUACAAGAAGAUUUACUGGUUACAAAGAUUAAACAGACAAACCACUUUUUCAGAAAGCCAUUUUAGAUCCCACUAAGACAAAAUAGAAGUGUGCUACUGCUAGUGUGUAUACUGGAACAUAAUGCAUGUUUGACAUGAAUGCUAUUGAAAAUUUUGAGUUGUUAUGGUGUUCCUAAUAACUUAAAGUUGUCGUAUAAUUUAACUGAACCAUAGUACUCUCAAUCAGAGAGCAUGAACUUGGGAGUUACUAUGCAACCAUUCAGUUGACUUGUGAAGUAGUCAUGCUUGAAUAUCUGGGCUGUUGUGAUGGCCUUAAUAGUGCAAAGCUAUGCAUAUAAAGCUGUCAUGCUUGUAUAAGUGGGAAGUACACAAAGCUGCUGUCAUGACCUUACUGUCCAAAUCUAAUGGAAAAUUGUGUUGAACUAGUGUGUAUACUAUACUGGAAGAUAAUGCAUGGUUAACAUAAAUGGUAUUGGAAUUAUUUAGCUGCUAUGGUGUUCCUAAUAGCUUAAACUGUUGUGAAGAUGAACUUAACCAAAUUACUCUCAAACUAGAGAGCAAGAAAUUGGGAGAUAGUUUCCUGUAUAGUACUCCCUCUGUUCACUUUUAUAAGACCUUGGAGACAUUUCAGACGAUGUGCAAAACAGUUCAUUUUAAGUUGUCUGAAACGACUCACAAAAGUGAACGGAGGGAGUAAUAGUUUCUGUAUGUGCAGCAAUUUAGUUACCUUCUGAAGUAAUAGUUGAUGCCAUGCUUGUAAGUGGGUUGGUGUCAUGACCUUAACAGCGCAAAGCUAUGCACAUAACAUUCACAUUUUAUUUUGAGUUUCCCUUCAGCAAUUACUUGUGAACUUUCCAGCACUAAACUGUAUUUGGCUGAGUAUAUCAAUAUUCAAACUUGUUUGUGUCGCUUUCACUUUUUUGUGAGCUAUUAAUCGUUCUAUUGGUGAAGUGAAUAUUAAUAUAAUUUAUCUCAAGGAGAAACUGAAAGAAUUCCAGAUCUUGAUGAAUGUAUACCUCGGUUUGUGAGGAUCUGAAGAAACCCUUUUUCCCUUUACAGGUAGUGGAGCAAGAUUUCUUAUAUAUGGGUGAGGGCGUCAAUCAAUGUUGGUAGUUGGGACAAGGAAUCUCAUGACUGCAAUAUAUAGCUACCACGUUGGACCAGGCGCGAUUAUCUUGAGUAUAGCUAGACGGAAAAACAUCUUUCGAAGGUAACCUGACCCAUCCUGUUUAUUUUGUGAAAUUUAAAGUUAAAAUAAGGGAUGUAUUCACCAGCUAGUCAAUCUCCUUCCAGGAAGAAUAGUACAUAAAACUCUAUGCUUAGCACACAUCUGCUAUGGAAAGUACAUCAUCAUAAAGCCUAGUUACUUAAGUUGUCUUGGUAAGAUCUACAAAUUUGUAUAAUAAGUCUGCACGCGUGUAGUCCUUGAUAAUCAAAUUAAAUUGCUAGAUAAGCAUUGCUCAUUACUUGUCGGAUGCCAAAAAGUGAAAAUGACCUCAAUGAGAUGCUGACAAUACUACACAUGCAGAUGAAUAAAUGAUUUAUAUAAUACAUAAUUAAUAACUGUAUGAACACAAAUAGAUGCUUCAAACACUUCUGCUAUCUGAAGAUCAUGCGUACUCCAGUUUUUUUGCCUAUGCCAAUAUAGUAAUUUAUCUUAUUUUUAAUGAGAAGAAACAAACGCCUUUGUUGACCUAUCAACUCCUUAUGGAGAUGGUGGGCCGGCUGGGGUGAUACCAGCCGAGGAUCAAAGUUAGUGUUAACACAUGGCUAUUGAAUUCUCUGUAUCUAUUACUAUUUAUAUUUUUGACAAUGUCUAGUUUCUAAUAGUGUAUUAUAACUGAAUUGUUUAACUUUUGUAGGAAGCAAACAAAAGGACUACACUCACACGGAACCAUGAAGCCAACGAUCCACGUCAACUAGAUGUUUUAGAUUUCAUUUUGUACAACUGAUGUAUCAUACUUGCAUCUUUUACAUGUCCUUUUGUGAACCUGUUGUAUGGUGUCUCCGUAGUUAUGUUUAGAACAGAUUGAAGGCAGACUGAAGUGUAUGUAUGUGACACCUAGUUAAUGGAAUAAAAAAAAUGUUUG